CCUGGUACAACUGGGGGUCGCCCAGAUUAGUGAAUCGCAUAUAAAUAGAGACUUGGAGUGUAUGGCUCUGGUGUCUUAAUAGGGACACCUGUACUGAGCAGUCUGGUAUGUGUCAGUGGUAGUGGUGAGUUUGGGUUCACCACAGUUGUACACCAGAGCUGUAUGCACAGAUCGUUAUCAAUCAGAGAUAAUAUCUAUGUUGAGAGGUGUAAGCCCACGUGCGUGUGAUUGGAGUUCACCCCAGGUGGUGUGCCAUGGUAACCCAGAGGACACCCGCGUAAUAUUUAAUGGUCUGCGAAAGACCUUGCAUGCAUAUCUGGGGGGUCACCACAGGUGGUGGUGUAACCACAGGUGGUUCCCUUAUGUACCACUAUAAUGUCUUAAAGCAUAGAACUUAGUAGGGCUAACCAUACAGAUAUCUUAG